rnacentral:rRNA from 1 species
AGCGAACGCUGGCGGCGUGCCUAACACAUGCAAGUCGAACGUGAAAAGGGAAACCUGAGUAAAGUGGCGUACGGGUGAGUAACGCGUAGGUAAUCUACCCCAGAAUCUGGAAUAACCUGCCGAAAGGCGGGCUAAUACUGGAUAGAGCGAGGGAACUCGUAAGAGAGUUUUUCGGGAAAGGGAGCCCGCAAGGGCCUUCGUUCUGGGAUGAGCCUGCGUCUCAUUAGCUAGUUGGUAAGGUAACGGCUUACCAAGGCGAUGAUGAGUAGCUGGUCUGAGAGGAUGGUCAGCCACACUGGGACUGAAACACGGUCCAGACUCCUACGGGAGGCAGCAGUGGGGAAUCUUGCGCAAUGGACGAAAGUCUGACGCAGCCACGCCGCGUGAGUGAAGAAGGCCUUCGGGUUGUAAAGCUCUGUCGGAUGGGACGAACAUCUUCAUAGUGAAUAGCUAUGAGGACUGACGGUACCAUCAAAGGAAGCACCGGCUAACUCCGUG